rnacentral:ncRNA from 1 species
GCGGCUCACUACGGGCGCUGAGUCCAUCGAAGGGAGGGGAAAUCCCAGACUGGCUGUCCUACAGCGCUCUUUGGCCUCCCCUUCCUCGAUGCGACGAAGCUGAGACAGUACCGUAAUUACUCGAUCAAGAUAAUGCUUGCGUGGGGAAAGUGCUGCCGCUCUUCC